CUUGUUUUUAAUGGACAGGAAUGUGGGACUGGAGCUGGAAUUCAUUCUGCCCCCUUCUGUUCUUCUCACAGGCACUUCUUCACUGCACUGAGGCAUCCCGAGAGCUUCUGCUGCUGAAGAUGAUACAGUCAGACAGGUUCCUCACAGCUGGAUCCUGUUCAGGUCGAUAUGGUCUGCUCUGAAUGACCCAAACAGAAUUGACUUUUCACUAAAAAAUAAAUCACAGAGCUGGUGUAUGGCCACAAGAACUUUGUUGCAGACUGGAUUCAAGAAGAUCUUUGGGUCUUCUAGCAACAAUUCUUCUGCUUCUGUCCUUGAAGGAUUUUCAAAACUGCAGCUACAUGAUUACCAUGGAAUCACCUCUUUUGUAGAUGACUUUCUGCACUGUGGAACCUGUUCUCUUCUCCAUACACAAAGUAAGGA
rnacentral:lncRNA from 1 species